rnacentral:rRNA from 1 species
GACGAACGCUGGCGGCGUGCCUAAUACAUGCCAGUAGAACGCUGAAGGAGGAGCUUGCUCUUCUGGAUGAGUUGCGAACGGGUGAGUAACGCGUAGGUAACCUGCCUGGUAGCGGGGGAUAACUAUUGGAAACGAUAGCUAAUACCGCAUAACAGUAGAUGUUGCAUGACAUUUACUUAAAAGGUGCAAUUGCAUCACUACCAGAUGGACCUGCGUUGUAUUAGCUAGUUGGUGGGGUAACGGCUCACCAAGGCGACGAUACAUAGCCGACCUGAGAGGGUGAUCGGCCACACUGGGACUGAGACACGGCCCAGACUCCUACGGGAGGCAGCAGUAGGGAAUCUUCGGCAAUGGACGGAAGUCUGACCGAGCAACGCCGCGUGAGUGAAGAAGGUUGUCGGAUCGUAAAGCUCUGUUGUAAGAGAAGAACGAGUGUGAGAGUGGAAAGUUCACACUGUGACGGUAUCUUACCAGAAAGGGACGGCUAACUACGUG